AUGGCUCAGGAUGAACGCUGGCGGCGUGCUUAACACAUGCAAGUCGAGCGGAGAUAUGAAAUCGGAGAGCUUCGGCAGGAAGAUUUCAUAUUUAGCGGCGGACGGGUGAGUAACGUGUGGGCAACCUGCCCUGUACUGUGGAAUAAUCACUGGAAACGGUGACUAAUACCGCAUGUCAUUGCGAGAGGGCAUCCUCUUGCAAGAAAAGGAUUUAUUCGGGUACAGGGAUGGGCCCGCAUCUGAUUAGCUAGUUGGUGAGAUAACAGCCCACCAAGGCAACGAUCAGUAGCCGACCUGAGAGGGUGAUCGGCCACAUUGGGACUGAGACACGGCCCAAACUCCUACGGGAGGCAGCAGUGGGGAAUAUUGCACAAUGGGCGAAAGCCCUGAUGCAGCAACGCCGCGUGAAGGAAGAAGGGUUUCGGCUCGUAAACUUCUAUCAACAGGGACGAAAAAAUGACGGUACCUGAAUAAGAAGCCCCGGCUAACUACGUGCCAGCCGCCGC
rnacentral:rRNA from 1 species